GAUGGACGCCGGCGGCGUGCCUAACACAUGCAAGUCGAGCGAAGCACUUUGCUUAGAUUCUUCGGAUGAAGAGGAUUGUGACUGAGCGGCGGACGGGUGAGUAACGCGUGGGUAACCUGCCUCAUACAGGGGGAUAACAGUUAGACAUGACUGCUAAUACCGCAUAAGACCACAGCACCGCAUGGUGCGGGGGUAAAAACUCCGGUGGUAUGAGAUGGACCCGCGUCUGAUUAGCUAGUUGGUAAGGUAACGGCUUACCAAGGCGACGAUCAGUAGCCGACCUGAGAGGGUGACCGGCCACAUUGGGACUGAGACACGGCCCAAACUCCUACGGGAGGCAGCAGUGGGGAAUACUGCACAAUGGGGGAAACCCUGAUGCAGCGACGCCGCGUGAGCGAAGAAGUAUUUCGGUAUGUAAAGCUCUAUCAGCAGGGAAGAAAAUGACGGUACCUGACUAAGAAGCACCGGCUAAAUACGUGCCAGCAGCCGCGGUAAUACGUAUGGUGCAAGCGUUAUCCGGAUUUACUGGGUGUAAAGGGAGCGUAGACAGAUGGGCAAGUCUGAUGUGAAAGCCCGGGGGCUCAACCCCGGGACUGCAUUGAAAACUGUUUUUCUAAAGUGCUGGGAAAGUAAAUUGGAAUUCCUAAUGUAACUGUUGAAUGCGUAGAU
rnacentral:rRNA from 1 species